GUCCGCUGAAAUCUAAUGGGCCUCUGCAGCAGGAAGAGGGCACUCUGGGUCCGGUGACCCACUCUGACGUAGGGCCGCUGGGGCAGGUCACAUUAAUUUCCCCCCAACAUUCUGUUGGGCCGCUGGAAACUGAUAGGCCUGUCUCGCCCCAGUGUCAGAGCUGCAGAAUGCAUCCAAAUGUCUACGGGACAUCACUUAAAGUUUAUAGUAGAAGAAGACAGCGUGUUUCAGUUGGACAGGUUGACGCGCCAGAGGACGUAUCUCCUUCCAAACAGCAGUUCUUUGAGAUGGUGUCCAAGAAAAUUGGUUGUUUACUUCCUACUCCAAAAGCUAAGAAGAGGAGAGAACCUGCCAUCCCUUCGCAGGGACUCCGUCGUAGUCGACGGGUGGCUGGUCUAGGCGCUGAGCACAUUCCACAGAUCCCCAGGG
rnacentral:misc_RNA from 1 species